rnacentral:rRNA from 1 species
GGCUCAGGACGAACGCUGGCGGCGUGCUUAACACAUGCAAGUCGAACGAUGAAGCCCAGCUUGCUGGGUGGAUUAGUGGCGAACGGGUGAGUAACACGUGGGUGAUCUGCCCUGCACUCUGGGAUAAGCCUGGGAAACUGGGUCUAAUACCGGAUAGGACCUUCGGCCGCAUGGCUGGGGGUGGAAAGUUUUUCGGUGCAGGAUGAGCCCGCGGCCUAUCAGCUUGUUGGUGGGGUAAUGGCCUACCAAGGCGACGACGGGUAGCCGGCCUGAGAGGGCGACCGGCCACACUGGGACUGAGACACGGCCCAGACUCCUACGGGAGGCAGCAGUGGGGAAUAUUGCACAAUGGGCGCAAGCCUGAUGCAGCGACGCCGCGUGAGGGAUGACGGCCUUCGGGUUGUAAACCUCUUUCACCCAUGACGAAGCGCAAGUGACGGUAGUGGGAGAAGAAGCACCGGCCAACUACGUGCCA